AGAGUUUGAUCCUGGCUCAGAACGAACGCUGGCGGCAGGCCUAACACAUGCAAGUCGAACGCGCGUAGCAAUACGCGAGUGGCGCACGGGUGAGUAACACGUGGGAACCAACCCUGAGGUUCGGAAUAACCGCGGGAAACUGCGGCUAAUACCGGAUAUCCCCUACGGGGGAAAGAUUUAUCGCCUUGGGACGGGCCCGCGUCCGAUUAGCUAGUUGGUGAGGUAAUGGCUCACCAAGGCUCCGAUCGGUAGCUGGUCUGAGAGGACGACCAGCCACACUGGAACUGAGACACGGUCCAGACUCCUACGGGAGGCAGCAGUGGGGAAUAUUGGGCAAUGGAGGCAACUCUGACCCAGCCAUGCCGCGUGGGUGACGAAGGUCUUCGGAUUGUAAAGCCCUUUCGGCGGGGACGAUGAUGACGGUACCCGCAGAAG
rnacentral:rRNA from 1 species